AAGAGAACACGGUGAGAAAGAAGAGAGUAACCAAAACCUAGAGCACUAUUCACUUUCAUCUUGUUUUGCUUGUAACUUUCGAUCUGGAGCACUGAUUGACGAGUCGUUUGCGGCCACGCGUAGCUCUUCUCAUCCUCUUCAAUUUUAUCCAAUAUUUGUGGGAUGCUCUAACAUGAAUUUCUAGUGAGUUCCAUCUAUAUUUCGUGUCGGUUAAGAGAAUUGUUGGGGCUGAAUUUGGUGUGGAGUGGAAUUUGAUUGGCAAAUUUGGGUGGCGGACCUUGGAGAUUGAGCGAGGAAAGGCUUCAAGAGUUUGAACCGCUGACAUUCAAAGUACGGGUUUGAGUUUCGAGUAGACAUUGUGUAAAGUUAUGUGAAUGCCUAGGUUAGUUGACCUUAGGAUAGGUGUGGAUUGAAAUUGGUUGUUGUUAUGGAUAGUGAAUGGCUAUAUGUAUGUGUGUAUUGAUUAAGAAUU